rnacentral:rRNA from 1 species
AAGUUUUCGGAUGGAUCUGAUUUAACUUAGUGGCGGACGGGUGAGUAAUGCGUGAGCAACCUGCCCUUCAGAGGGGGACAACAGUUGGAAACGACUGCUAAUACCGCAUAAGCGCACAGCUUCGCAUGAAGCAGUGUGAAAAACUCCGGUGGUACAAGAUGGACCCGCGUCUGAUUAGCCAGUUGGCGGGGUAACGGCCCACCAAAGCGACGAUCAGUAGCCGGCCUGAGAGGGUGACCGGCCACAUUGGGACUGAGACACGGCCCAAACUCC